rnacentral:rRNA from 1 species
AACGAACGCUGACGGCAUGCCUAACACAUGCAAGUCGAACGAGAUCUUCGGGUCUAGUGGCGCACGGGUGCGUAACGCGUGGGAAUCUGCCCUUUGGUUCGGAAUAACAGUUGGAAACGACUGCUAAUACCGGAUGAUGACGAAAGUCCAAAGAUUUAUCGCCAGAGGAUGAGCCCGCGUAGGAUUAGCUAGUUGGUGUGGUAAAGGCGCACCAAGGCGACGAUCCUUAGCUGGUCUGAGAGGAUGAUCAGCCACGCUGGGACUGAGACACGGCCCAGACUCCUACGGGAGGCAGCAGUGGGGAAUAUUGGACAAUGGGCGAAAGCCUGAUCCAGCAAUGCCGCGUGAGUGAUGAAGGCCCUAGGGUUGUAAAGCUCUUUUACCCGGGAUGAUAAUGACAGUACCGGGAGAAUAAGCCCCGGCUAACUCCGUGCCAGCCGCCGCGGUAA